AUACGUAGGUGGCGAGCGUUGUUCGGAAUUACUGGACGUAAAGGAUGCGUAGGUGGAUACUUAAGUGGGAUGUGAAAUCCCCGGGCUCAACCCGGGAACUGCAUUCCAAACUGGGUAUCUAGAGUGCAGGAGAGGAAAGCGGAAUUCCUAGUGUAGCGGUGAAAUGCGUAGAUAUUAGGAGGAACACCAGUGGCGAAGGCGGCUUGCUGGACUGUAACUGACACUGAGGCAUGAAAGCGUGGGUAGCAAACAGGAUUAGAUACCCUGGUAGUCCACGCCGUAAACGAUGGGUACUAGGUGUAGGAGGUAUCGACCCCUUCUGUGCCGUCGUUAACACAAUAAGUACCCCGCCUGGGGAGUACGGUCACAAGACUAAAACUCAAAUGAAUUGACGGGG
rnacentral:rRNA from 1 species